GGCGAACUGGUGGAUAGCUCGGCUCGAGAGUCGAAGAAGGCCGUAGCAGAUUGCGGAAAGCAGGCAGAAGGUGCGUGUCUGAGGUGGACAGCAGAAGCCUGGUGGCCGAACGACGAAGUUACCUGCGGGUUUGCCGUGGGUGCGUCAGGGAGUGUUCCUGAGGGAGACUGCCUGGCGGGAGUACCCUCCGAACUUAAGCAUAUUAGUAGGAGGAGGAGCCGGAAGCAAAAGCGAUUGUCUUAGUAGCGGCGAGCGAAGAGACGAAUUCCCGACCUGAAUCCGGAGACGGAGCUGUGGGUAGGCGUAAGUGUUGUGGACGUCUCGUAGUUCUUUAGGAAGAAGGACGGGCGAGUGAGAGGCUCGCAGACGAGACUUAAACGACGCGGGCCGGACGAGUAGCAGUGGUUGGUAGUUCACUGUGAAGCGGGAGGUGCUGACCUCCCAAGGAAACGGACGGUCUCGAGACCGAUAGCGAAGAAGUACCGCGAGGGAAAGCGGAGCCCUGUGGAAGGGGCGGCAGUGUGAAACCAGUUGGCUGGUAGUCUCCUUGUGGCUGGUUCUUCGGAAAGCUGCGACAAGGAGUGCCCGUCUUGAAUCACGGACCAAGGAUUGUAAUGGCUGGGCAAGUCUGUGCGCAAACAAGCGCGCGGGCGCAGGGAACCCGAAACAUAUCAAGGUUACUUCCAUGUUUGCAUGGGAGGGGAGCUCAGACAGUACUACCCGAUGGCGGACGAACUAUACAGGGACAGGACGAAGCCUCUGGAAACGGUGGUGGAGGUCCGUAGCAAUGCUGGCCCGCAAACCGCUUGUGCGAUUCCUGUAUAGAGGCGAAAGACCAAUCGAGUCCGCUAGUGGCUGGUUCCCUCCGAAAGAUCUUUAAGGAUCGCCGCCUGAAGUAUUAUGUGUGUCCGAGUGCGUAUGUCACCGAUGGGGCGAGAGUGGGUUUCGAUCUGCACGCAACGUCGAAACAGGAAGUGCGCGGAAGGACGAAGGCGAGUGGGCGUGGCCUGGUAAGCAGGCAGCGCAAAGUGGAAUGAACCACACGAGCGUCGAAGGUGCCUAAGGACACCCGAAAAGGAAGGGCGCGGACUUGUUGGGACAGCUGGGCGGUGACCUUAACAGUAGGUAUCCGCUAAGGAGUGUGUUGCAACUCACCAGCCGAACAAGUGCGGCCCGAAGAUGGAUGGCUGUAGUGGUGUCCACCGGAGGCGCUCUCUUCCGAGAGGAAGAGGUAGGAGGGCGGCGCGCCUGCGCAGAAGCCGGGACGAAAGUCUGGGUGGAGCGGGUGCGCGUGCAGAUCUUGGUGCAAGUAGUACUUUUCGAGUUGGAAGCUCGAGUGCCGAAGAGGACUAGGUUUGGGCGGGUUCUGAAGAAGAACGCCUUGUGAGUCGGUCCUAACCUCCUUGUGUGGAGCUUGGAGGGAAAGGGAAGCAGGCGGAAAUUCCUGCACGACGCGUGCGAACCGGAAGGAGGGUCGUUCCAUGCGCGGCUCAAAUGGACAGCGGGGUUUUCGUUCCCGUUUAAGUCGGGUGCAGCAGAAAGCGUUGGGCUGUGAGGCUGCUGCGCAGACGAAGAGGUUCUCUCUGGCGACAGAGCACGGAACUUGUCCAGACGAGAAGCGCGGUGAAAAAUGGGACGACGGAGCGCGCGUCACCGUACCGAAAACCGCAUCAGGUGUCCUAGGCGAGAAGCCUUUGGCAGACGGGACAAAGUGCGUUAGGGAAUUCGGCAAAAUAGACCUGUAACUUCGGGAGAAGGGUUGCCUCCCUCUGUGAGGGAAGCGGAUACAGGGCGGUCCGACAGUUUAAUAAAGACCUAACGAUGGGAAGCUGUUGCUGUGGACCUAUCGUGACUUCUGCUCAGUGCCGAGUUCUUAAUGCGGCGCAAGUCGCGCAAGGUGCGGUCAACAGCGGGUCUAUUCCUGAGACUCUUAAGGUAGCGACCCCUCGUCAUUUGAUUGGUGACCUGCAUGAGUGGAGUAACGAGACCGCCGCUGUCCCGACGCACGUCCCGGCGAACGCACAACUGGGGGAACGGGCCCAGAGGAAACAGCGGGUAGAGAAGACCCCGUUGAGCUCCGCCUUAGCCUGCGGUUCUGCUGCUGUCACUGUGGCGGAGGUAGUGGGGAGGYUUUGCCGACGGUGAGAAACCCACACACAGUCGGCAGCAGCAGUCACCAGAAGGGACAGCCGCAGGUGAGAGGCUCGGCUGGGGCGGCACGCCUACGAGAACACAGCGUAGGCGCCCAACGAUCUGCUCAGUGAGGCUAGAAACCUCGCGUAGAGUGUAAGGGCAAAAGCGGGUCUGAGCCCGACGCGGAGCAUGCGUCGGGCGCGCGAAAGCGUGGCCUAGCGAUCCUCGACGAGUCAGUCGGCGACGGUCGAGGUGUCGGAAAAGUUACCGCGGGGAUAACUGGCUUGUGGCGCUUGAGAGUUCAUAUCGACGGCGCUUUUUGAUUCUUCGAUGUUGGCUCUUCCCAUCCUCGGCUCGCAUGAGAGUCGAAGGGUUUGAUUGUUCACCAGUUAAUGGGGAUCGUGAGCUGAGUUUAGUCCGUCGCGAGACAGGACUGUUUCACCCUACUGUUUCGGGACUGGACGGUCGGAGCACUCUAGUACGCAAGGAGCGAGUGGUCGGCGCCUCUUGUGUUUCCUGCGGACGAGGGUCUGCGGGAGUAGCUACGCGCCGGGGACAGCAGCUGAGAGCGUCUCAAGCUGUAAGCCCUUCCGGAAGGUCGCGCUCGUUGUUGGCAAGUUGGGCUGUGAUGACAGUCGACAGCAACGGGCACCAUCGGUUACACCAGCCGAACGGGUAGGAGAACUGUACGUGACGAGCAGUUGAGCGAGUCAUUGAGGUAACUCCGAACUCAUUUUUUUAGGUUUGU
rnacentral:rRNA from 1 species